CCUACGGGUGGCAGCAGUGAGGAAUAUUGGUCAAUGGACGAGAGUCUGAACCAGCCAAGUAGCGUGAAGGAUGACUGCCCUAUGGGUUGUAAACUUCUUUUAUAAAGGAAUAAAACGAGGCACGUGUGCCUUUUUGCAUGUACUUUAUGAAUAAGGAUCGGCUAACUCCGUGCCAGCAGCCGCGGUAAUACGGAGGAUCCGAGCGUUAUCCGGAUUUAUUGGGUUUAAAGGGAGCGUAGAUGGGUUGUUAAGUCAGUUGUGAAAGUAUGCGGCUCAACCGUAAAAUUGCAAUUGAUACUGGCAGUCGUGAGUACAGUUGAGGUAGGCGGAAUUCGUGGUGUAGCGGUGAAAUGCUUAGAUAUCACGAAGAACCCCGAUUGCGAAGGCAGCUUACUAAACUGUGACUGACAUUGAUGCUCGAAAGUGUGGGUAUCAAACAGGAUUAGAUACCCUUGUAGUC
rnacentral:rRNA from 1 species